UACGUAGGGUGCGAGCGUUAAUCGGAAUUACUGGGCGUAAAGAGUGCGUAGGCGGUGCUCUAAGUCUGUUGUGAAAUCUCCCGGCUCAACUGGGAGGGUGCGGCGGAAACUGGAGUGCUAGAGUGUGGGAGAGGUAAGCGGAAUUCCUGGUGUAGCGGUGAAAUGCGUAGAUAUCAGGAGGAACACCUGCGGUGUAGACAGCUUACUGGACCACGACUGACGCUGAGGCACGAAAGCGUGGGUAGCAAACAGG
rnacentral:rRNA from 1 species